rnacentral:lncRNA from 1 species
CACCAUGGUAGUUCCCAGUGACAUCACCAGUAGUCACAUCCCUGGACAAUCUCUUGUAUCCAGGAGAACCCUUGACUCUUCUGUGAUGUCAUCAUUAUUGUGGUGACACCAAAGGCCUGUGGUGUAUUCCUUCAGAACCAAUUGGUUUCACAGGCAAGCAUGUUGUCCAUGCAGCUCACACUAUUUUGGAGGGAAAAUACAAUACACACAGAGACCAGACUUUGGAGGAAUGAGGCCGGCCUUCUGUCAUCUUGGGAAAUGGUAAGAAAGAAAUGGUCCUGGAGAAGGCACAGUAUGUCCUGAGCAAAGGUUGGGGAGCUACAUUGAGGACGUGGGCUUGAGCUGGUCCUUUCAGGAAUAGAGCUUAUGAUUUGGAUCCUCAAAAUUCUUCAAUCACAGACCCAGAAACAAGAAUUUAUGAUGAUUAGUUUGCCGAGAGUCAGGAAUUGAGAAACCUGUACUUACUUUGUUGAGAAAUUUUAAUAUCAUCCCAAGUGGCAAAAAUAUGCCCGGAGGAAGCUCUGUGGGGAUAACAGAGUGUUGCUCUCAGGAUAGAGUGUUGAAGCACUUCAUCCUGUUAGAGUUUCCAGUAGGUUAUAUGAGGAUGUGAUGGCAAGAACAGAGUGGGCUAUUCCCCCUGCUCAUGAAUCAAGGUCUCUGACACUUUGGCAUUGAACACACAAGAUGUGGACUGAUUCACUGUCUGAGGGAUUCUCUGUGACUCUAGAUUUUCCUCUUCCUGAGACUUCUGUGUGGGACAAAGCAUGUUGUCUCCAUUCCCUGCCCUAUUAUCUCUACGAGUUUACUAGUGUUUAUCAACCUACAUGGUCUGUUGGAAAGGCAUCACCCCAAGCCUCCACCACCAAUAAGCAGGAUCAGAGAAUGAAGAGGAUGGCGAAGCUCAAAAGGGAUCUCCAGAAGAUCAAAAAUGGGAGAGAUGGACUCCAGGGAAUCCUAGCCAAUUACACUAACAAGGAUUUGAACAACAGGUAGUCAUUAUGCCCAGUUCUUUGCUGACUGUCUUGGGCCCUCUCUGUUAACCGCAGAUUCCCUCAUAUCACAGGAGGCUACACCACCAGGCGGUCCACAUAUCCAAAUUCAUUUUGCUGAUUGGAUUUUCGACACAUAACUUCAAGUUCAGAUAGGAAUGAUAUGGGUCUUAGGCACUUUUGAUUCCUCCAAAAGUAAAUCAGAGCCUGUGGUAUGAAUUUUAGUCUGGGGAUAAGGGUAGUAUUGUGUGAGUCCUAAUUCUGCACUGUAAGAAUCCUAUACAGGUGUUGGUUUGUGGGAGAUACAAGGUCCUCUCUGUUUAUGGCCAAUCAUGAUUGCAGUUUACAUGGAGGUAAUUUGGGUCCAACUAGUCCAGUCAACAGCUGGAGGGACCUGGUCCCACAUACUGCCUCUCACGAUGACUGGAUUGGUUGUAGUUCAUCACUGCUUUUCUCAAAUUUUGUUCAUUAUACUCUCAGAUAAUGUGUGUUUAUUUGGAAUUCUGAAUGUGUUUAAUUAUGUGGUGUGUGUUUGUGUGUUUGUGUGUGUAUGUUCCACUUAAAAUCUAGAGUAACUGUGUAGUAUGCUGGGGCCUGAGAUUUUGCUUGACACAGUUUCAAGGCAAUAAUAAUGAAGAUGCCAGGGAGCCUCACUUUGAGCAGCACAGCACAUAAUCUCUGUGCUCACGUUAGAUGCACACUGGAAACUCCUGGUGUAUGUUAUAAAGGCUUUCACCUGAAGAAACUGAUUAUGUCCUUUGAGAAUUUAUGUAAGCAAUAGAACCAAGGAUUGACAAUUUCUUGUCUACAAACAGAUGUGCCAUCACAGGUCUAUAAGGAUGACAAACAGAACUCUCCUGUGGAAUGGGAACACUCUGGCCGUACAGUCUUAUUCUGACAAAGGCUCCAGAAUUCAAGAUUACGAACCAUAAAACUAGAGCAAAUCUGUGUGUAGGACACUAUUGGCUCAUCAAUCCUGGGAUGCACCAGGGCAUACAGUAGGC